rnacentral:rRNA from 1 species
UACGUAGGGGGCUAGCGUUGUUCGGAAUUACUGGGCGUAAAGCGCGCGCAGGCGGUCUUCCAAGUCAGUGGUGAAAGCCCGGAGCUCAACUCCGGAAUUGCCAUUGAAACUGUUGGACUUGAGGAUGAGAGAGGUGAGUGGAAUUCCCAGUGUAGAGGUGAAAUUCGUAGAUAUUGGGAAGAACACCGGUGGCGAAGGCGGCUCACUGGUCCAUUACUGACGCUGAGGUGCGAAAGCGUGGGGAGCAAACAGG